rnacentral:rRNA from 1 species
UACGUAGGGUGCAAGCGUUAAUCGGAAUUACUGGGCGUAAAGCGUGCGCAGGCGGUUAUGUAAGACAGGUGUGAAAUCCCCGGGCUUAACCUGGGAACUGCAUUUGUGACUGCAUAGCUAGAGUACGGUAGAGGGGGAUGGAAUUCCGCGUGUAGCAGUGAAAUGCGUAGAUAUCGGAAGGAACAUCAGUGGCGAAAGCGACUUCCUGGACCAAUACUGACGCUCAUGUGCGAAAGCGUGGGGAGCAAACAGG